UACGAAGGGAGCUAGCGUUGUUCGGAAUCACUGGGCGUAAAGCGCACGUAGGCGGAUGUGUCAGUCAGGGGUGAAAUCCCGGAGCUCAACUUCGGAACUGCCUUUGAUACAGCACAUCUGGAGUCCGGAAGAGGCGAGUGGAACUCCUGGUGUAGCGGUGGAAUGCGCAGAUAUCAGGAAGAACACCAACGGCGAAGGCAGCUCGCUGGGACGGUACUGACGCUGAGACGCGAAAGCGUGGGGAGCGAACAGG
rnacentral:rRNA from 1 species